ACUCCUGCGGGAGGCAGCAGUGGGGAAUUUUGGACAAUGGGCGAAAGCCUGAUCCAGCAAUGCCGCGUGAGUGAAGAAGGCCUUCGGGUUGUAAAGCUCUUUUGUCAGGGAAGAAACGGUGAAAGCUAAUAUCUUUUGCUAAUGACGGUACCUGAAGAAUAAGCACCGGCUAACUACGUGCCAUCAGCCGCGGUAAUACGUAGGGUGCAAGCGUUAAUCGGAAUUACUGGGCGUAAAGCGUGCGCAGGCGGUUUUGUAAGUCUGAUGUGAAAUCCCCGGGCUCAACCUGGGAAUUGCAUUGGAGACUGCAAGGCUAGAAUCUGGCAGAGGGGGGUAGAAUUCCACGUGUAGCAGUGAAAUGCGUAGAUAUGUGGAGGAACACCGAUGGCGAAGGCAGCCCCCUGGGUCAAGAUUGACGCUCAUGCACGAAAGCGUGGGGAGCAAACAGGAUUAGAAACCCCUGUAGUCCCAUG
rnacentral:rRNA from 1 species